rnacentral:rRNA from 1 species
GUAACGUAGACGAAAGUUACGCUAAUACCGCAUAUUCUGUGAGCAGGAAAGAGGGGGAUCGCAAGACCUCUUGCUUUAGGAGCGGCCGAUGUCGGAUUAGCUAGUUGGUGAGGUAAAGGCUCACCAAGGCGACGAUCCGUAGCGGGUCUGAGAGGAUGAUCCGCCACACUGGGACUGAGACACGGCCCAGACUCCUACGGGAGGCAGCAGUGGGGAAUUUUGGACAAUGGGCGCAAGCCUGAUCCAGCCAUGCCGCGUGAGUGAAGAAGGCCUUCGGGUUGUAAAGCUCUUUCGGUGGGGAAGAAAUUGCACAGGAUAAUACCUUGUGUAGAUGACGGUACCCGCAUAAGAAGCACCGGCUAACUACGUG